GGUGACGACCACGCCGGGUUCCAGGGCGACGGCGUUGUUGCCGCUGUCCCACUGCUGGCGUUCGGAGGCGUAGACGUCGCCGCC
rnacentral:tRNA from 1 species